AUUUAGAAUGGCUGUGUGGUGGACUGUGGUGCUAACACCGUAAUGAAGAGUUCUUCACUACUGUUCAUAUAAACAGGAUAUUUCAGAAUUCUCAAAUUUAAUACGAAAUAUAUAGAAUGGUUCAUAUUUCAUACACCAGACAAAAUGAGUAUACGAUUUACCUUGAAGCACUCAGAAAUUGCUAGUCAGUUUCACAAAUAAUGCAAUAAAGUAAGAAAUCAUUUUGAAGUCAAAAGACUGAAAUAGUAUUUUCUUGCGAAAUGUACGCUAAAUUUUUUUGUUUUAUUUACAACUUAGAAAAUCCGUUAUUACAAUGCAGUCAUUCUAUUUUAAAAUGACCAUUUAAGAUAAAUGAAAAAUGACCAUUUGAUGUUUAAAUGACUAUUAAAUUGUCUUAAAUUAUCACUUAUGACACUCUUGUUCUCAUUGUCCUGUGUUAUGUUUUCUUAGCUGCUGGAUGGUUUGGAUGUUCUGAUGAGUAACGCGUUGACUCCACUUAAGCAGCAGUUCAUUGCUCAGAGUCUCACUGGAACCUUCCGGAAUCUCACUGUUGACGAGUUCAGGAGGUUAGUUAAUGCAAUGUUAUUUUACUCCAUUAAGAUGAAAUCAAUACAGUUUCUGGAAUUAUUUUAAUUUUUUUAUUUGGGACAUGGAAAUGUAAAAAGGAAAAAAAAAAUUAAAAAAAAAGUUUCCUCUCACACCCCUCCAGGUUAGGUAAUCUGUCCUGUCUGGCUCACCCCAGCCAGCUAAUGGCAUAUGCAGGAACGGAAGCCUUCUCUGUGAUCAAGGACAACAUUAGGACAUGUGCAAUUCAGGGUUUUAGUGUUCCUAGCAAUAUGAUAUCCAGCAUGGUCUUGAAAUCGUCUGACCUGCAGUCUCCCUCCAGUCUCACUCCUCAGAGAGUCUCUGAGCUUGGCCCUUUUCUUCCCCUUCUGGGAUCCAGUGUCCUACAGCAGCUUACCUCAGCCCAGCUCAUGCCUGCUCUCAGCACCCUCGCCUCUGUGCCUUUUACCCCUGCACAGGUACACACCAUUUUUGCCACAUCUGCAUACAUUUGCCACACAAGGCAAAUAAUUGAGCAAAAAUUACAGGCCAUAAAUAUUUCUUACCAAUCAUGAUACAAUUUUGCAUUAUUUGUUUUAAAAAUAGGGUGGCCAUAUGUGCUGUUCAUAUGGGACAUGUCCCAGCCAGGAUUUUAAUAUUGCCUAAAAUAUCCAGGUUUUGGCUGUUUGCACUGUGCAGGUCUAUCGUUGUGUGACAUUCAUGAGAGCUGUAGAGAACAGAGCAGACAGCUCCUUAUGCUUUCAAAUCGCUCUCGCACCUACUUUGGUGUCUUUGAUCGUUCCCUGUAGAUCUCACCUUCUCACGCGCAGCCCCACGAUUGGUUGAUUAUGUACCUGCAUGUUAUUGGUCAAACUGCUUUGGAUGUUUUAGGCUAUUUUAAAAUCCUGGCCAGGUUGUGUCCCAUAUGAACGGCGCAUAUGGCCACCCUAUUUAAAAAUGUAUAUCUGUUCCUAUGACAAUGAGACUUUCCCUAGGAUUUUAUGACAAACAUCACAGACAGAUCAGGCAUAGGCAAGUGUCAGUCGUAGGCAAGGCAAUUUAUUUAUAUAGCAAUAAGAAAUAAUAAAAAAUACAAUAAAAAAAAGUAAAAAGAAAAU
ensembl:lncRNA